CCUACGGGAGGCAGCAGUGAGGAAUAUUGGUCAAUGGACGAGAGUCUGAACCAGCCAAGUAGCGUGAAGGAUGACUGCCCUAUGGGUUGUAAACUUCUUUUAUAAAGGAAUAAAACGAGGCACGUGUGCCGUUUUGCAUGUACUUUAUGAAUAAGGAUCGGCUAACUACGUGCCAGCAGCCGCGGUAAUACGGAGGAUCCGAGCGUUAUCCGGAUUUAUUGGGUUUAAAGGGAGCGUAGAUGGGGUGUUAUGUCAGUUGUGAAAGUUUGCGGCUCAACCGUAAAAUUGCAAUUGAUACUGGCAGUCUUGAGUGCAGUUGGGGUAGGCGGAAUUCGUGGUGUAGCGGUGAAAUGCUUAGAUAUCACGAAGAACCCCGAUUGCGAAGGCAGGUGACUGAACUGUGACUGACAUUGAGGCUCGAAAGUGUGGGUAUCAAACAGGAUUAGAUACCCGUGUAGUC
rnacentral:rRNA from 1 species